rnacentral:rRNA from 1 species
UACAGAGGUGGCAAGCGUUGUUCGGAAUUACUGGGCGUAAAGGGCGCGUAGGCGGCCCAUCUAAGUCAGACGUGAAAUCCCCCGGCUUAACCUGGGAACUGCGUCUGAUACUGGACGGCUUGAGUAUGGGAGAGGGAUGUAGAAUUCCAGGUGUAGCGGUGAAAUGCGUAGAUAUCUGGAGGAAUACCGGUGGCGAAGGCGGCAUCCUGGACCAUUACUGACGCUGAGGCGCGAAAGCUAGGGGAGCAAACGGG